AUUGAACGCUGGCGGCAGGCUUAACACAUGCAAGUCGAGCGGGGGAAGGUAGCUUGCUACCGGACCUAGCGGCGGACGGGUGAGUAAUGCUUAGGAAUCUGCCUAUUAGUGGGGGACAACAUCUCGAAAGGGAUGCUAAUACCGCAUACGUCCUACGGGAGAAAGCAGGGGAUCUUCGGACCUUGCGCUAAUAGAUGAGCCUAGGUCGGAUUAGCUAGUUGGUGGGGGAAAGGCCUACCAAGGCGACGAUCUGUAGCGGGUCUGAGAGGAUGAUCCGCCACACUGGGACUGAGACACGGCCCAGACUCCUACGGGAGGCAGCAGUGGGGAAUAUUGGACAAUGGGGGGAACCCUGAUCCAGCCAUGCCGCGUGUGUGAAGAAGGCCUUAUGGUUGUAAAGCACUUUAAGCGAGGAGGAGGCUACUUUAGUUAAUACCUAGAGAUAGUGGACGUUACUCGCAGAAUAAGCACCGGCUAACUCUGUGCCAGCCGCCGCUGUAA
rnacentral:rRNA from 1 species